UACGGGGGGAGCAAGCGUUGUUCGGAUUUACUGGGCGUAAAGAGCUCGUAGGCGGCUCAGUAAGUCAGAUGUGAAAACUCAGGGCUCAACCCGGAGACGCCAUCUGAUACUGCUGUGGCUUGAGUCUGGUAGGGGAUCACGGAAUUCCUGGUGUAGCGGUGAAAUGCGCAGAUAUCAGGAGGAACACCGAUGGCGAAGGCAGUGAUCUGGGCCAGUACUGACGCUGAGGAGCGAAAGCGUGGGUAGCAAACAGG
rnacentral:rRNA from 1 species